rnacentral:rRNA from 1 species
GAUGAACGCUGGCGGCGUGCCUAAUACAUGCAAGUCGAGCGAACAGACGAGGAGCUUGCUCCUCUGACGUUAGCGGCGGACGGGUGAGUAACACGUGGAUAACCUACCUAUAAGACUGGGAUAACUUCGGGAAACCGGAGCUAAUACCGGAUAAUAUGUCGAAUCGCAUGGUUCAACAGUGAAAGACGGUCUUGCUGUCACUUAUAGAUGGACCCGCGCCGCAUUAGUUAGUUGGCAAGGUAACGGCUUACCAAGGCAACGAUGGUUAGCCGACCCGAGGGGGUGGUCGGCCAGCCUGGAAGUGAGGCACGGCCCAGACUCCGGCGGGGGGCCGCGGUAGGGAAUCUUCCGCGAGGGGCGAGAGCCUGACGGUGCACAGCCGCGUGAGUGAAGAAGGUCUUCGGAUCGUAGAGCUCUGUUAUUAGGGGGGAACAAAUGUGUAAGUAACUAUGCACGUCUUGACGGUACCUAAUCAGAAAGCCACGGCUAACUACGUG